UUUAUUAAUUUGUUUUGAGCAUCUCUGGAGGGCAAACGAAUCAAGCAGCUACUCAACUCCUUUCUCAGACUGAUCUUUUGCUGUGUUGCAUUUAUUUGUUAAAUGGCAAAUUCUUUUGGACAAAAAAAAAGCAGCAUUUGUAAGGUUCACAAAGAUUUGAACCUGUUACCAGGUACAACUCCCAAGGAUUGCAGUGGUUCAGUGUGGGUAAAUGUGUCAAUUCCUGCCUGUUUUUGUACAGUAUUUACCUGACAUUCAAGCCCUUAUGAUUUUCAACAAUGCUGACAUUUAUGUUACCAGUACACCAGUGUUUUAGUAGAAAAAGGAAAUAAUUUUAAGGGAGAUGGCAUUUCCAUA